rnacentral:tRNA from 1 species
GGGGUCUUAGCUCAGCUGGGAGAGCAUCUGCCUUACAAGCAGAGGGUCAUAGGUUCGAACCCUAUAGGCCCCA